UACGUAGGGACCGAGCGUUGUCCGGAAUUAUUGGGCGUAAAGAGCUUGUAGGCGGUUUGUCGCGUCUGCUGUGAAAUUUCGGGGCUCAACCCCGAACUUGCAGUGGGUACGGGCAGACUAGAGUGUGGUAGGGGAGACUGGAAUUCCUGGUGUAGCGGUGAAAUGCGCAGAUAUCAGGAGGAACACCGAUGGCGAAGGCAGGUCUCUGGGCCAUAACUGACGCUGAGAAGCGAAAGCAUGGGGAGCGAACAGG
rnacentral:rRNA from 1 species